UGGAUUUUUGCCAUAAUACAUUAACCUAGUGCAAUUAGGUUAUGUGUUUCAUCAUUCUAUUUGGAUUAUAAUUUUGUAACCUUACCCUAGUACAAUUGGGUCAAGGAUUUCAUUAGUAUAUUAGGAUUUGGUUAUUUAUUUUAUUAGUUUAGUAGGAGUAGGAUAGGAGUAUUAUAAAUACCCUAUCAUGUUAGAGAUUUUGAAGAAAAGAAGAAAAGGGGGAGAGACAUUCUGACAAUUCAUUCAUCUCCUUACAAUUAAGACAUCUUCCUAUAACCCAUUCUCAAUUCUUCAUUCUUCUACUCUUAAAUUCCACAACAAGAGAAUCGUUACUUGCUACGGAAUCACUAAAACCACACGCCAAACACCUACUAUUCACGCCAUCCACCAUGCAAAACGUGAUAUCCUUCGCAUUCAUGGGUAACUAAAUCUCUUAGUUGGGGUUAUGGAAGCCGAAUGAGUUACUAUCUAUAGCUAUGAGUUUGUGAGUUCAAGACAAGUAUAUUGCUUAUAUCAUUAUUCUCUUCAUCUUAAAUCUACAUUCUUUGCGGUUCAAACACAAGAACACGCCAUUCUAACAUCUAACCUGUUCGAGAGAAAGGUUAUUUGUCUAGAAAAGAAGACGCAUAGACCAACGCCAGUCUAACAUCUGACUUGUUCGAGAGAAAAGUUAUUUGUCUGGAAAAGAGAUAAUGUCAAGGUAGUAGGACACCCUUUCCUAUUAAAAAGCUAGUGCCGUACCUGGACUAACUUCUUGGAGAAUUCGUACCGUUAGUCACGCUUUAAGCUCGAGAGAGUUAAAGUGAAAUAGUCCUUGUUUAGGUCGAGAGACGCUUGGAUUUACCAUCGACUACAAUUCUCUAUAAGCAAUUACAUGUCAAGACUCUACACACUCAUAGCCAAUAGAGACGUAUACCUCAGAAGGUGGACAUAACCCCAACGCCUCAAUUCUCAUUGUUUACAACACACGUGACAAUCUCUCUUUAUUUUGCUAUUUUCAGUUCUUACAUUCUUGUUUUGGUUACAUACUACAAUCCCCCCUUUCCUACGAGACUUGCACUAAAAGUCUAGUAAUUUCUCUUGCUUGUUGGCCAAGCUAUUCUCUGUGGGAUCGAUACCCAACCCAGGUUGGGUUCUAUAUUUGCUAACGACCGCUUUACACUCCCACGAGAGCUGUAGAUUGAGCGUUAUCAAAAAUUGGCGCCGUUGCCGGGGAAUACGAGUGUCAAUCAAGUUCGUGAAAAUUACUAGACCCUUUGGUCAAAGAUUCUCGUACUUUUACGUUUAGUUUUUGUUUUUGUUUAUUGCAGGUUUUUCUUUUAGUGCAUGCCCCAUACUAGAAGUUCUGGUCAACCGUUAUUACCAAUCAAUCCGGAACCACAACGAAUCAGAAGAAUGGAAGCACAAGCGGAAAUCGACAGGAUGGCUGCUCAACAUGAGCAAGCAAGAUUAGCUGCUCUUGCCGCUGCUCAAGUCCAACAACAAAACAUUGAUAAUCCUGGACGAGCAACAAAUCCUGACGAUGAAGAUUUAGGAGAUGACGAGUUGAUCAACCCAAGGCAUGGCGCUGAAAUGGCAACACCUACCAACAGACGAGGUCGACAAGCUCGGUACAGAUAUGAUCGCCAACCUUUGCAACCAGCUUUCGACGAUGAUGAUGAUGAUCUUGAUGGUGCCGGAGCCACUGGAGCUAUAAUUCCACCACCAUUAGCGCCCGGAGCCAAGUUCAACAUCACUAGCACCAUGAUUCAGUUAUUGCAACUCAAGGGAUUAUUUGGUGGACUAGCAGGCGAUGAUCCGAAUAUGCAUCUCAUCAACUUUAUUUCUACAUGCAAGUCUUUUGACAAUCCUGGAGUUGGUCAGAAUGCUAUUCGAUUACGUCUAUUUCCAUUGUCUCUGUCUGGGGAGGCAACAUUAUGGUUGAAUGGGCUGACUCCUGAUUCUAUUACAAAUUGGAGGCAAUUGAGAGACGCUUUCCUAGAAAGAUUCUUUCCGCCAUCCAAGAGGGCUCAAUUGAGAGAUGAAAUCAGCAACUUUCGUCAGCUUCCCUCUGAAGCUCUUCACGAAACAUGGGAGAGGUUCAAGACAAAGCUAGCGAGAUGCCCAAACCAUCACAUGACUAAUGUUCACCUCAUGGAGAUCUUAUAUAGAGCCUUGAAUUCAGUAACUAAACCAGUGGUGGACAACGCAGCUGGAGGUUCUUUUAUGGACCUCACCUUUGGUCAAGCAAGCAACAUGCUAGAUCGUAUGACGAAACAAAGUAGAGCUUGGCAUACCAGGGAUUCUGAGGUAGCAAGCCCCACUUUAUCUAUUGGCAUGUCUGCAGAUCAAAGAAGGAGAGAAGAAGAACGUGAUCAAGAUAUGGCGCACAUGAAAACCCAAAUGGAUCUUCUUACAAAGCAUCUAUUAGGGAAGACUGAAAAAGUGAAAUCUAUUGCGUCAAAAGGAAGAGACGAAUCUGAUUCAGAAGAGGAGGCCAACUACUUGAACAAUCAGGGGGGUUUCCGUGGGAAUGCCCAAGGAAACCAAGGUCGGAACUAUUAUGACAAAUCUGGAGGUAAAGACCAAGGUAGUUGGAAGAAAAAUAAUGAAAACAGUGGUUUGUACGUUCCCCCUGGUAGACGUGAUACCACCACAUCUAAUUCUAUGGAAGACAUGAUGGCUAAGUUAUUGAAAGGAGUGGAAGCGACGAAUGCGGGAGUUAAGGAGGUGAUUGACGAUUUGGCCUCCAUGAAGCAAUUAGUUGAUUCUCAUUCCACUUCUAUCAAGCAACUAGAGCAGCAAUUCAGUCAACUUUCAGCAACACUCAACCAAAGAAAAGCCGGCACCUUGCCUAGCGAUACGGUGCAAAAUCCAAGGACUGAUGGGUCAUGCAUGGCCAUCACUACGAGGAGUGGUAAGGUGCUGGAAACUUCAGCAGAAGGCAAGCAAAUAGUUGACAGAACAGCAGACACAACCGCCACACCUAGUGACGCCACUAGGGAAGACGCCGCAAUAUCCACUUCCAACGUCAAGGACGUGUUGCCUAGUGACGUGCAGCCUGAAAAAAGUAAUAAACGGAAGCAAGAGGAGAAGAAAGCCAUGGAAAGAACACUUCCAUACCCACCACCACCUUUUCCACAAAGACUGAAGAAGGCGGCCGAUGACACUAAGUUCAGCAAGUUCAUGACCAUCUUGAAGCAGCUGACUAUUAAUGUCCCAUUGGUAGAGGCACUUGAACAAAUGCCUGGGUAUGCGAAGUUUAUGAAAGAUCUUUUGACUAAGAAGAGGGCAGCAAGCUAUGAGCUGAAAGAAGAUGUGCAUCAUUGUAGUGCAAUAGCUACCCGAUCCAUAGUUCAGAAGAAGGCCGACCCCGGAGCUUUCACUAUUCCUUGCACCGUCGGAUCUUUGGACUUUGCUAAAGCAUUAUGUGACUUAGGAGCCAGCAUCAACUUGAUGCCAUUAUCAAUCUACAAGAAGUUGGGGUUGGGAGAUCCUACACCAACUAAUAUGAAGCUUGUUAUGGCGGAUAGGUCGGUAAAACGACCGGUUGGUAUUCUAUGCGAUGUCUUGGUGAAGGUAUCUUCAUUCAUAUUUCCAGCAGACUUUGUCAUCUUGGAUUGCGAAGCAGAUUCAGAGGUUCCCAUAAUCUUGGGACGCCCUUUCCUUGCUACGGGAAGUGUGCUCAUAGAUUUGAGAGCUAAUGAACUUUCAUUCCGAAUAAAUGAUGAAGUGGUGCGCUUUGAUGUUUGCAAAUCAAUGAAGCAACCCAAAGAUCUAAGUGUAUUUUCUGUGACUGAUGUUGUCGUUGAUGACGAGGAUGAGUUACUUGCUGAAGAACAAAUUCUUGAUGAUCCUUUGGAGGUUUUGCUCAUGGAAGAAGAUGAUGAUGAUGCUGAAAUUUCUGAAGAUGAUAUUUGUGCUCUAUCGGGAUUAGGAGCAUAUCGCUAUCCUCCUAAGAAGCUGGAUAUUGAUCUCAAGAAUCGACCCACACCACCAGCUAAGCCAUCUAUUGAAGAACCACCCACAUUAGAAUUAAAGGAGCUGCCAAGCCAUUUGAAGUAUGCAUUCUUAGGAAGCGGAAACACUCUUCCAGUCAUAGUGGCAGCCGAUUUAGGUGAGCAACAAGUUGCAGCUCUUAUUGCAAUUUUACGCAAGUAUAUUAGAGCUAUUGGAUGGACCAUUGCGGAUAUCCUUGGUAUUCCACCUGGAAUUUGCACUCAUAAAAUUCAGCUCCAAGAAAAGUGCACACCCACCAUCGAACACCAAAGACGUCUAAACCCACCAAUGCAAGAGGUGGUGAAGAAGGAGAUUAUCAAGUGGUUAGACGCAGGAGUUGUGUAUCCUAUUUCUGAUAGUACAUGGGUAAGCCCAGUACAAUGUGUUCCCAAGAAAGGAGGUAUGACGGUGGUUGCGAAUGCAAAGAAUGAGCUUAUUCCACUCAGGCCCGUCACUGGAUGGAGAGUAUGCAUGGACUACCGCAAGCUGAAUUCUUGGACUCUCAAGGAUCACUUCCCCAUGCCAUUUAUGGACCAAAUGCUAGAUCGAUUAGCGGGAAAAGGAUGGUUUUGCUUUCUUGAUGGUUAUUCAGGUUAUAAUCAGAUUUUUAUUGCACCAGAAGACCAAGAGAAGACAACGUUUACAUGCCCAUAUGGUACGUUUGCCUUCAAACGUAUGCCAUUCGGGUUAUGUAAUGCACCAGCCACCUUUCAGCGAUGUAUGAUGUCUAUUUUCUCUGAUAUGGUAGAAGACACUUUGGAGGUAUUUAUGGACGACUUUUCAGUUGUUGGGGAGUCUUUCGAAGCAUGUUUGGUGAAUUUAAGCAUGGCAUUACAAAGAUGUGUAGAGUUCAACCUUGUGCUGAAUUGGGAGAAGUGCCACUUCAUGGUAAAAGAAGGAAUUGUUCUUGGGCACAAGAUCUCCGAAAAAGGAAUAGAGGUUGAUCGCGCCAAAAUAGAGGUAAUUGAGAAGCUACCACCUCCAAUUUCGGUGAAGGGAGUUCGUAGUUUUCUUGGCCAUGCUGGGUUUUAUCGUAGAUUCAUCAAAGACUUCUCCAAAAUUUCUAGUCCAUUAUGCAAGCUAUUGGAGAAAGAUGCGAAGUUUGACUUUAAUGAUGAUUGCUUAAAGGCAUUUGAAUGCCUUAAAGAAAAACUCGUUGAAGCCCCUAUCAUGGUAACACCAGAUUGGACGCUCCCGUUCGAAGUCAUGUGUGAUGCUAGUGGUGUAGCCGUUGGUGCUGUUCUUGGACAGAGAAAGGAGAAAUUAUUUCAUCCUAUCUACUAUGCGAGUAAGGUCCUCAAUGAAGCCCAAAGGAACUACACCGUCACUGAACAAGAGCUAUUAGCGGUUGUGUAUGCGUUUGAGAAGUUCCGCGCCUACCUAUUAGGUACUAAAGUGAUCGUUCAUACAGACCAUGCAGCUCUUAGGUAUCUAAUGACAAAGAAGGAUGCAAAACCAAGGCUGAUUCGAUGGGUGUUGCUGCUGCAAGAGUUUGAUUUCGAAGUCAAAGAUAGAAGAGGUUGCGAGAACCAAGUGGCUGAUCACCUAUCUAGACUUGAGAAUGAGUAUGUGGCGCAAUCAGAAAAUCAGAUUGGCGAUGCAUUCCCUGACGAGGAGAUAUUAGCGACAACAAUAGAAGACUUACCAUGGUAUGCCGACUUUGCGAAUUUCGUGGUGAGUAAUGUGUUACCUACAAAUUUAUCUUACCACCAGAGGAGGAAGUUUAUGCAUGACGUUCAGCACUAUUAUUGGGAUGAGCCUUAUUUGUUUCGAAGAUGUGCGGAUGGUAUCAUUCGACGAUGUAUAUCCCAUGACGAAGUGCCCACUAUAUUAGAAGCAUGCCACACUUCGCAAGUUGGAGGACAUCAUGCGGGUAAUCGAACAGCAAGAAAAGUCUUGCAAAGUGGUUAUUAUUGGCCUACAAUAUUCAGAGAUGCACACGACUAUGUGAGAAGGUGUGACCAAUGCCAACGUCAAGGUGUUAUUUCAAAACACCAUGAAAUGCCCAUGUCCACAAUCCUGGAGGUAGAACUCUUUGAUGUAUGGGGUAUUGAUUUCAUGGGACCAUUCGUAAAUUCGUUUGGAAUGAAGUACAUCUUGGUUGCUGUGGAUUAUGUGUCGAAAUGGGUUGAAGCUGUAGCAUUGGCCGAUAAUGAAGGAAAGCGUGUUGUAGCGUUUUUAAAGAAGAAUAUCUUCUCUCGCUUUGGGGUACCUCGUACUAUCAUAAGUGAUGGAGGAUCUCACUUCUGCAACAAGCUAUUCAAAUCUGUAUUGGCCAAGUAUGGAGUCAAGCAACACAAGGUAGCUACGCCUUAUCAUCCCCAAACUAGUGGACAAGUAGAGGUUUCCAAUCGGGAGAUCAAGCAAAUCCUUGCCAAGACGGUCAAUGCGAAUCGGAAGGAUUGGUCUCGGAAGCUAGAUGAUGCACUAUGGGCGUAUAGGACUGCAUUCAAGACACCCAUUGGCAUGUCACCUUAUCAGCUAGUUUAUGGGAAGGCUUGUCAUCUACCCAUCGAGCUUGAAUACAAGGCAUUAUGGGCAUUGAAGCACUUGAAUCUGAAUUGGGAUGAUGUGAAGAACCUGAGGUUGGAGCAGCUGAACGAGCUAGAUGAAUUCCGUCUCCAUGCUUAUGAAAGAUCAGAUUUAUACAAGGAGCGGAUGAAGAAGUAUCACGAUCAGCGGAUUGUUCGACGACACUUCCAAAAAGGUGACAUGGUGCUACUCUUUAACUCCAGAUUCAAGCUCUUCCCAGGUAAGUUAAAAUCAAAGUGGUCUGGUCCAUUUAAAGUCACCCACGUCUACUCGUUUGGAGUAGUCGAAUUGGAAAAUAAUGAGGGUGUUAUCUUCAAGGUGAAUGGCCAACGUGUUAAGCCAUAUAUCGGUCCUCUUGACUCGAUAAAUGACAUGGCCAUCACUUAUCUCGACGAAGUCUAAGUACUCGAGAUUACUACGUCGAGCCACGACAAUAAAUAAGGCGCUAGAUGGGAGGCAACCCUUCGUUUUAUUGUUUUAUCGUUUUGUCGUUUUAGUAUUUUUUCUUUUUGAUAAAUGAAAAUCCAAAAAUAAGAGUCGUGCCACGACCAAAACUAAGGCGCUUGGUGGGAGGCAACCCAUCGUACUAAUCGUUUUCAUUUGUUUGAGCAAAUAUAGGUGUAAGAAGUAUGCAACGAGGAGAUUGAUUUCAAUUGACGAUUUGGUCGCGUCGUAUGGUAAAGGCGGUAAGUUAGGAAUGGUGAUGCAUAAGGCUAUGAAUUGAGCCUUUCUCACGUCAUAAUAGGCUUCGAGGAAGGCUAGGCCUUGGUAAAAAUAGGCCACGAACGAUGCACAACCUAUUCUAUAGCCUAAGGACUCGGAAUCUAGUGUGCUAUACCCUAUGCGCCGCCUAUUCCUAGGUGUGCUUUUGACUAUGCGCCGCCUAUGUCCCAUUAUGCCAUGGACAAUGCGCCGCAUAUACAUGUGAUAUGCCGAGGGAUAUGCGCCGCAUAUAGGGUGAUUUUGUCCCCAAAUCCGAUUGUAAAUGGGUCAUAACCCGACCCAUACUCCUCCUAUAUAAAGGGGACUUGUUUUUAUUUCACAAACACAUUAGAAUCAACCCUAAAGGCGCCGCAUAUCAUCCCAAAUCCUCUCAAAUUUUUCUUCCUUUGUUCUUCCAAUCCACAACAACUUCUCCACAAUCUUCAAGCAAGUAAGUGCUCUCUUAUUCUUCAUCUAUUUAUCAUGAGUACUACUUUACUAUGCUUAUUAUUAAAUGCUAAAUCACGUGAGAUUAGUGGUGAUGUUCAUGUGCUUGGAUAAUUGUUGCAAAAAUCGUAUGAUUGAAUGAAUACGAAUGCAAUUCUUGACUUGUUUCCGACUUGAAUUUUGUUUCAAUGGCAUUGUUAUGAUACUUGCUGAACAUAUAUGGCUAUGAAUAUUGCUUGAAAGUGUUGUUUGGAUGCUUGCAUGAUUCACCACCCCGGCCAUCGGGAUACGGUUAUAGUGACUAUCCACGUAGGAGGUAGUGUUGGUUGUUCGAAUAGCAAUUCCAUGUGGUAACUCCUAUGUUAUAGUAUCGCUAUAUGCACCAUGAAAGACGUCCAAAUGGCUGUUCAUAAGUGAUGUCAUGCUGAUUUUCUUGUCGGAAUACAAUCCGAGGACGUAUGUCGACGAAGUCUGAGUACUCGACCACUUUCACUUCACUGAUUUUUGCUAACAAGAUUAAGUGUGGGGUGGUACCCCUAAUGCUUGCAUAUAGAAUUGUCUAAAGUGCGAUUGUGCCGCAUCUAACAUUAUUUCUAGUCUCAGGUACAAUGGCACCGAAAGCAAGGCAAGGCAAGGAGAAGGCUACCACAACCCGCAAGGACAAAAAGAGAAGCCGAAAAGACCAAGGCGAAUCAUCUUCCGCACACCUACCACGCAGAAUGUUCGGAAUCAAAUGGGUUCUUGAGGAAGAAGCCAAGGCAUGGUACAGCAGCAACAAAGAAAAGAAAUAUGUGCACGUCGACUUAAUCAAUAAGGAGACCUUAGCAAAGAAGGAGCCGCAAAUGUUGGCUAAGAUUAUGGCUUUGAAGCUGGAUUUCAUCUUCCGUGACAUGGGAGAGUGCAAUCUUGACUUGACAAGAGAGUUUUAUGCCAACUGGUCGCCAAACACAACAGGCAACGAAGUCAAAAUUCGGGGCCAAGUGUUACAGCUUACAGCGGAUUGGAUCAACUCGUUUCUAGGCCUACCUUCGGUCGACACUGCACCAUACAAAGAGCUGUACAGCAGACCUCCUUACAGAGCUAUAAGACACACGCUUUGUGGAAGCAGAUCGAUGGCGAGAUGGGGCAGACAUAAGGAAACAGGCCGUCACAACACAUUCCCCUAUGCUCCACUAAAUAGGGAAGCAAGAAUCUGGAUGCGCAUUGUCAACUCAUGCCUCAUUCCUGGGACGCAAUACACAAAGAUAUCGAGAGAUAGAGUGUGCCUGGUUUAUUCAUUAAUGACGAAUGUCCCUAUCAACUUUGGGGCAAUCAUUCGAUCCACCAUGAGGAAAGCCAGACUCCACAGCAGGUCCUAUUUCACAUUCGGCAAUUUGUUGACAGCAAUGUUGCGGAAGGAGGAUAUAGAAGAGGAACCAGCUGACCACAAACUCCCACAUACCCCAAAGAAGGUUGACCUCACCAAGGUCAAAGAUGCUGAAACAACGCAUGGAGUCAACCUUACCACUGCGGAGAGACAUGCUCGUGACGAGAGUUUCUUCCGUCAUCUCUAUGGCAUGACGAGAUUCACUAUGAUGAGUGGUGGACGUAUUCCAACUGCUGAAGAGCUCCAACAGCUGGACCACGACUACCCAAUGAACAGACAUGCCCGGGAGAUGUGUGGAGUGGGAGUAUAUUUCGAGGAACCUCUUGAUGAUGACGUGCCAACUGAUGAUGAUAGACGCUUGCCUGAUUCUGAUGCUGAGGAGAACUCUGACGAUGACUCUUACGAUGACUCGAACGAAGGGGGUAUGACAUUGAGGAAGAGUCCGACUAAUCAGGUUCUUCGACUUUAUUUUCCACUGAGGGCAGUGUCUAGUCUAAGUGUGGGGUGUCGGCAGAAUCUGCAUGCUAUAUUUGUAUGUUUGCUUGUUUAUUUUGUUUUAUUUAUUUUGUUUUGAGUCCGAUUUUUUUUGUGAUUUUUUUCGUGUGACGUUUUUUUUUAGUUUUUAGUAGUUAAAAUUUUUCUAGCCUCGCAUGAAAUUAUUUUAAUAGGCAGCAUGAGAUUAUAACAAUAGUAUGUAUUACAAUUGUGACUAUUGAGACAUUUAGGCUCUAGUUGUGACUCAUUAUGUGAUAGUGUGUGAUUCAAUUCCUUCACUUGUUGGGUUGAGAGUCUAUAUUGCUACCAAUCAAGUCGACCAUGUGCCUUGUGUGUGUGAGAUAAUAGUAUAUUCUAUGUAUGUGGCUGAUGCUAGAACUUGCCUGGUAUGUAUGCAAAGCGAAAAUAAGGAGUGUAAGUUUAGGAUAUGAUUUAGGCAUUUCUUUGGCAACCUAUAUUUGUUUACCUUCAGUUUUACCUACCCAUGGACAUCAUCCUAGUUAAACCCUUUUGAGCCUUUAGCCUAUUUCUUUGACAACCUUGUAUGUAAGCCUAAUUCAUUUUUUUUCAAGACCGUAAUUUGAUCCAAAUUCCUAAGUGCUUUAAAGUAAAAAAGUCAUGUGACAACAUAAGAGGAAAUUGGUUGAGUAUGAUGCUUUAAAUUGUAAUGGUGCUUGAAUAUGUUAUGAAAAAGAAAGUGCUAUCAUAAGAGGUAUGUUGUGAGAAGAAAAAGGAAAAGAAAGCUGAAAAGUGAGUUGUGCUUUAAAAUUGAAAAACAAAAGAGGAGAACAAGGGUGCUACAAAAAAAGUGUCAAUAAUACAAUGUGAUGUAUUAAAGUGCUUAGGAACUUAGUCACUAUUUCUGGCCAAAAUAGUUGAUCCUACCCGUCCCUUAGCCUACAUUACAACCAUCAAAAGACCUACUUGAUCCUAACCUUAACAUUCCGACAUUUAGUGGAGUACUACAUUAAGGGCAAGCCUAUGGUCAUUAGCUGCUACAUAUGAAUUCUUUGUGAGAGUGAGCGCAAGGAUACUUUGCUGCCCAUGUUUGAAAAAUAUGCUAUACUUGUGAGUGAUUAUGGGUACUAUAUUGUGAGACACACAUGGUUGAUGAGUUUUGGAUAGUUGUAUAUGAUUCUAUGUACCUUAAACGUUUGCAUGCGAGUUGAUCACCAUCACGAGUCUAUGCUUGAGGUUAAAUUGUUUCUACUUAUAAUCGGAAAGCUACUCUUCGUUGAUAAUUGUUGUGCUUGUCUUGAAGAAUGUUUUGUGUUGUUUCUGUAAAAACCUUAAGUCAAUGCUUAGAAGGACAUGAUAUGUUGUUCGAGGACGAACAAAGCUCUAAGUGUGGGGUGUUGAUGAUAGGCGAAAUUACGCGCCUAUAUCAAUAUAUUUUGCCCAUAUUUUAGCCUAGUUUCGAGAACUAAUUAUCUAUUUCGUACACUUUUAGUCCUUUUUCCUGUAAAUGAGCUAACAAAUGUGAUUAGGAAAGUUUCAGGUAUAAAUGAUGCAAAAUACAGCAAUUUAUGGCUUACUUGACGCAAAAGAAAGCUCACAAACGAGAUGGAAAGGAGCUGGACGCAUAAAGGACUAAAUCUGCUGCAUGGAAAAUCUGUCCCGGGCUAAAACAGCAUUUCUGAAGACUUUGGGACUUACAGACACAAAGCUGGAUUUUUGCCAUAAUACAUUAACCUAGUGCAAUUAGGUUAUGUGUUUCAUCAUUCUAUUUGGAUUAUAAUUUUGUAACCUUACCCUAGUACAAUUGGGUCAAGGAUUUCAUUAGUAUAUUAGGAUUUGGUUAUUUAUUUUAUUAGUUUAGUAGGAGUAGGAUAGGAGUAUUAUAAAUACCCUAUCAUGUUAGAGAUUUUCAAGAAGGGAGACAUUCUGACAAUUCAUUCAUCUCCUUACAAUUAAGACAUCUUCCUACAACCCAUUCUCAAUUCUUCAUUCUUCUACUCUUAAAUUCCACAACAAGAGAAUCGUUACUUGCUACGGAAUCACUAAAACCACACGCCAA
rnacentral:lncRNA from 1 species